AUUGAACGCUGGCGGCAGGCCUAACACAUGCAAGUCGAGCGGAUGAAGGGAGCUUGCUCCUGGAUUCAGCGGCGGACGGGUGAGUAAUGCCUAGGAAUCUGCCUGGUAGUGGGGGAUAACGUCCGGAAACGGGCGCUAAUACCGCAUACGUCCUGAGGGAGAAAGUGGGGGAUCUUCGGACCUCACGCUAUCAGAUGAGCCUAGGUCGGAUUAGCUAGUUGGUGGGGUAAAGGCCUACCAAGGCGACGAUCCGUAACUGGUCUGAGAGGAUGAUCAGUCACACUGGAACUGAGACACGGUCCAGACUCCUACGGGAGGCAGCAGUGGGGAAUAUUGGACAAUGGGCGAAAGCCUGAUCCAGCCAUGCCGCGUGUGUGAAGAAGGUCUUCGGAUUGUAAAGCACUUUUAGUUGGGAGGAAGGGCAGUAAGUUAAUACCUUGCUGUUUUGACGUUACCAACAGAAUAAGCCCCGGCUAACUUCGUG
rnacentral:rRNA from 1 species